GUUCUGUAUAGGCAAACUCUCCGAAAGGUGAGGACGCAAAGCUAUGGGUCUACGGAUAUAUCUAAGACUGCCAGGCUGCCAAG
rnacentral:ncRNA from 1 species